rnacentral:lncRNA from 1 species
UAGGAGCUGGUCUUGAAGUAUUGCGUUCUUAAACUGAACAAAGUGAUUAGGAUAACUGAUAGCUAAAUAAGGUUUUUAUGUGCCUGUGGGAGCCAUAUUAGGAUUGAUUUGACAAGUCAGUUCAGCUGUGGCAACAGUCAUAAUAUCUAAGACAACAUUAUGUUUUAUUAGUAAAAUCCUUAAGUGUGUAGCAAGCUGUUUGUGACAACACAGCCCCAUAUUUUAAUAUGGGGGAUGGGGAACACGAGAUUUGCUAAAUAGGAGUAACACCUUCUGAAGUUCUCAUGCAUCAGGGCUAUAUUAAAUAGACUGACACUGGUUAAUAUUCUUAAAAGACUAAUGAAUAUAUACCAAUAAUGUAGGCACCUUUGCUGAUGAUACUUGAAUCAUGUUUACUGUUAUUUGAGAUACGGUGAAAAUACUGACCAUCAUUUUGCACAGCUCUUCUCUCUACCAAAAAGAAAUAUUAGCACUAAGAAGCCAAAUAGAAGAAUGAUGGCCUUUGGUGAUUAUUUAGCGUAGUUCAUCUACUAAGAAAUAAUUAACCAAACACUGUACCUUUUAUUUUGAAGU